ACAUAAGGAUAUAUGAAUGAGUGAUGGUAGUAAGCAGAGGCUAAAAGUCUGAUAUGGACAUGAUGCUAGCUAGUGACGGUGCAGAGAUGGCAGGAGCAGUGGAAUAGAGACACAAAGAGCAGGCAUUUAUUUCAAGUACAGAGGAAAGUCGAGGAGGGGAGGAAGAGACAGAAGAGGGGAGGCUAUUUGUUUUACAAGAUUAUGGGUGGGGACACAGUCGGUUGAAUACAUCUUUAAAUGUGAUAGGAAAGUGUGAUUAUUGCCUGGAAACAGAGAUGGUGGAGUAUGUAUUGAUACAGUGUGGUCAGUAUGAGAGGGAAAGAGAGAGAGACUGAGAUCCAGCAUGAAGGGGAACCAGGAAAUCAGUUUAAAGAGUAUACUGAGAACGUCGCCAUUAGAAACAGUCGCCCACACUCCAGUACACUAGGUGGCGGUAAUGCGCCAUAAUGUUGGAUGCCAGCUGCCAACAAACCCUACCGAAGAAGAAUUUACAAGAAGAAGUACAUUAUAUCUCUUUUCCUAGAUGUGAGAUAAUUAACUUGUUUUCUGUAAUAUCGUAUAGCUUUUGAAAUCGUGACAUUACAUACUUUCGAGGAUAAUAGGCAGGUUUCUGGACUCAUACCCUUGACUUUGAAGAAAAGGAUUGCGUUACUGAUCUUAGCAAAGGUGUGACGCAUCAUGGCAACGCGAACGCCAUUGAUCAGUCUGCUGAAUGGGGCGUUACACGUUCCUCCAUUUAUUGUCCAAUGAGAUUCCUAUCUCCUCCAUUCUAUAAUAUCUCUGCAACAGCUGUCGUUUAGUAAGAAAUGACAAGUACAUAGCUAGACCUAUUGCUCUGUUACAGAAAGUAAGAACCACAAGAUGCAGGCUGGCCAGAAGGCUCUAAUGAUAGCUCACUCGCUAAACAGACAUGUUGUGCCAAUAGAAAAGAGGCUGGAUAGCUUGCACCAGCGUUGUAGCGGUUAUGCUAUGUGGAACCACUAGUUUUAAUUCUUCAUCAGUAACGCCUUGACGUAGCUUUCAAAUUCUGUGAAUAUCAUUUAGCUAGCUCGUAAUUUUAACACAUUUUAUCCAUAUUUAGCACAAUGGAAAGCAUGCUUCCAGACCGGAACCCAGUGAAACGUGAAAGCACGUGUAAGAAUGACAACGCCUCACCCGGUGGGUCCACCAGACCUUGUGUUAUUCUCGGAUGCUUGUUUGCAGCUACAAAACUUUUGGCAGAGUGUGUUCCAUUUGACUGCUACUAUGGUUCAGACUACCAUCCCACCUUUCAGGUGAUCCUGGACAAAGGAUUUGGAGCUGACGCUUCUGAAAAUAGGGGCUGGUGGAGACGAGGUGUGGAAACUAGGCGUACACAAAUCUGAGCAAUGGUAUCCAAUGGGAUCCCCCUGGUGGUUAGGGAUUCCCCCCCCUGGUAGUUAGGGAUCCCCCCCUGGUAGUUAGGGAUUCCCCCCCUGGUGGUUAGGGAUUCCCCCCCUGGUGGUUAGGGAUUCCCCCCCUGGUAGUUAGGGAUUCCCCCCCUGGUAGUUAGGGAUUCCCCCCCUGGUAGUUAGGGAUUCCCCCCUACCUGGUGUCACAGUUCUGAAUCUGUGUUUAGAGGGGAAGGUUAAACUCCAGUAGGGGUUAGACUUCAAGGCCUGUAUUUGAGAAGGGGUUCAGUAAACCCCCCAGCCAACCACCAUUCUCACUUUACUGUGGGCUCAUCUCUGUGUGGAUUAGCUGUGGGCUCAUCGCUGUGUGGAUUAGCUGUGGGCUCAUCGCUGUGUGGAUUAGCUGUGGGCUCAUCGCUGUGUGGAUUAGCUGUGGGCUCAUCGCUGUGUGGAUUAGCUGUGGGCUCAUCUCUGUGUGGAUUAGCUGUGGGCUCAUCGCUGUGUGGAUUAGCUGUGGGCUCAUCGCUGUGUGGAUUAGCUGUGGGCUCAUCGCUGUGUGGAUUAGCUGUGGGCUCAUCUCUGUGGAUUAGCUGUCGGCUCAUCGCUGUGUGGAUUAGCUGUGGGCUCAUCGCUGUGUGGAUUAGCUGUGGGCUCAUCGCUGUGUGGAUUAGCUGUGGGCUCAUCUCUGUGUGGAUUAGCUGUGGGCUCAUCUCUGUGGGCUCAUCUCUGUGUGGAUCAGCUGUGGGCUCAUCUCUCUGUGGAUCAGCUGCACCUCUCUUAAUUUCUGUGGUCCCUGAUUCCUGUGGUGCUACGUUGGUUGGUGAGCAUCAGGCUAAGAACAGUAAGAGGGAUUCUACAGAGAAGCAACUGUGUUCUGUACGUAAGGACUUUGUGGAUCAUGUGUCUGUAUUCUGUAGUUUGAGCUCAACCUGUAGAUUUUGGUAUGAAGCAGAUUUCUUUAACAUUCAAAAAUAACCCCCAUAGACAAUGUCUGUGUCCAAAAUCUGUCUUGCAAACUACUUACUGAAACGACAUACUGUGCUAAUCGUACUAUUUAGAACAAACUGUUUAGUAAUGUAUGCAGUAAACAACAAAUAAAAACAUACUAGGCUCCUACUGAGAA